GACGAACCGUGCGAACGUUGUUCGGAAUCACUGGGCUUAAAGGGCGCGUAGGCGGCCCGCCGCGUCCGGGGUGAAAUCCUCCCGCUCAACGGGAGAACGGCCUCGGAUACGGGCGGGCUGGAGGGGGGUAGGGGCGGGCGGAACUGUGGGUGGAGCGGUGAAAUGCGUUGAGAUCCACAGGAACUCCGGUGGCGAAGGCGGCCCGCUGGACCCCAUCUGACGCUGAGGCGCGAAAGCCAGGGGAGCGAACGGG
rnacentral:rRNA from 1 species